rnacentral:lncRNA from 1 species
ACCUGCAGGGUAUUAUGACAUGGGGAAUGAGAAGCAAGAAUGAGGCACUCACUGUCAGGCUGGAAAUGAGCUCACUAUGGCUCAGGGCCAUGCCUGAAGGAUCAAGAAGCAGACCCCAGCAGAACAAAGGGGGCACCUUUGCAGUGUCUUAUUUUCAUGGAUAACAACAUUAACAUUCAGAGGAAGAUGAAUGAAAUUCAUAGAGCAUACUGAAUCUGUUCUGCUUCUAUUGAACUAAAUGGAACAUUCCAAGGAUUCAAUGGAUGGGACCUUUCUUCUCAGUCAUCCCCAUGAUAACAGCAUAAAGUCACAGAGCUCCACGGGAUUAGGAAGCUCACCAUUGAUUAUUCUCGCUGGCCAGGCAAAGCCUGGACUUUAGGAGCCGGCUAUGGAAAAGUGAGCAAAUAUGGAGAUGGAAACUCUGGGAGAAAUCCAGGGCUCCCCCUCCACCAAACAUCACCCUCUGCUCCCUGAUUCCCAAGACCAAGGAGUGAUGUGUCCAGCUCAUCUUUGGAGCCCAGGCCAUGUUACAAGUCGGGCAAGUCUAUGGAUCCACUGAAAAAGUAAUAAACUAAUAUUCACCUUAUAGAACUAUUUUAGG